GAUGAACGCUGGCGGUAUGCUUAACACAUGCAAGUCGAACGGAGCUUUUCGGAGCUUAGUGGCGGACGGGUGAGUAACGCGUGAGAAUCUGCCUUUUGGACCGGGACAACUGCGGGAAACGGCAGCUAAGACCGGAUGUGCCUUCGGGUGAAAUAUUCAUAGCCAAAAGAGGAGCUCGCGACCGAUUAGCUAGUUGGUGGGGUAAGAGCCUACCAAGGCUGCGAUCGGUAGCCGGUUUGAGAGGACGACCGGCCACACUGGGACUGAGACACGGCCCAGACUCCUACGGGAGGCAGCAGUGGGGAAUUUUCCGCAAUGGGCGAAAGCCUGACGGAGCAAUACCGCGUGAGGGAGGAAGGCUCUUGGGUCGUAAACCUCUUUUCUCAGGGAAGAAGCAAUGACGGUACCUGAGGAAUCAGCAUCGGCUAACUCCGUGCCAGCCGCCGCAGUAACAC
rnacentral:rRNA from 1 species